rnacentral:lncRNA from 1 species
UUUUGCUUUUCAUCACCUGCAAGAUUUACAUAAAAAUCACAUAAGCUGGAAUUCAACAAAAGACCUCCGACUAUGUGAAGAUACAGUGGGAAGAUGACUGUCUGCAAGGCAGGAAGAGAGCCCUCACUGAGGAACCAAAUUGGCCAGUAUCUUGAUCUUGGAUUUCUCAGCCUCGAGAACCAUGAGAAAUGAAUGUCUAUUGUUCAAGCCACCCAGUUUAUGAAAAGGUUUGGAAACCUUCAUCUAGAAAGUGGUCUAGCAAAGUGUGGUCCAUGGAUGAGUUUGAUCUGCAAAGUGCUUGUUAUUGGUUCAUGACAAGGUCCACCAAUUGCAUUUUGAGAGCUCAGAUAAGCAGAGAGCAAUGCAAUUUGUCACGGAAGGAUGAUUAUGUAUAUGCACUGUCAUGUGUAUGUAUGUGUAUGUAUAUACACUAUUUCCAUGCCUAACUCAAAGGAGACACAGGGAGAAAGUGAGCUUAGCCUGGGUAAAUUGGAGGUUGUGAUGACUUCUAGGAAGCCUCAGGAAAGAGAAACAAAGACAACGCUGGCCUGCUGCUCUCUGCAAUGGUGGGACCCUUGUGGGAUAACUGUUUUAGGAAUGAAGGUGUCUACCCUCUCUAGAAAUGAAAACGCAAGUUUGGCUGUGGUUAAGUAUUGGAUGGACGCAAAAAGAAACUGACAUAUUUGCUUCUUUUCAAUUGUUUGAUUCACCCUGAAGGGCAUGGCUGCCUAAUUUUUUUCUCCAGAGAUAGGUGGACAGAUAAAGACAGGAAAGUAACAUCCGCAGACUGCCCUCUGUGAAGGUGACAGUGAUGAAGGGAACGCUUGAUCUGAACACUGGUAAAUAAAGUGACCGCAUAUUUCCCUAGCCAGGAGAGCAAUCUGGCUCAAAAGAAACGAGAACAAUGACAUUACUGCCAGGCUGCUCCUAAGCCUUUGGCUAUUCUGUUCAGUGCACAUAAAAAGCAGUGAACAUAGCUGUGACCUGCCUUGUUGGCAGUAUCACAAUUCUUUGGGGCUCCACUUUGAGAAAUUGAGACCUACCUACCUUAACCCUGGGGGCGGGUUAAGCUUUCAGACUGGAAUCAUAACUGAACUAUUCAUUUGCAGUAAUUCUGGGUUUUGUGCAUAUUUUAAAAAGGAAUACCGGGCUUGCCUAUAUUCAUUACAACGUCCUCCCAGCUUUCAAAUCUUCCAAUACAAUGCCUCUUCUCUAGUCUUUUAAGCACAUCCUGUGACUGGAUAUGAUUAUGGGAGAUUUACAUGCAUCCUUGUCUAUUGUAUCAAAAGAUCAGCGAAUAAAAUGCCCAUCAUUAAAACCCCAAAGUGAUUGGAUUGGCAUGAGGAAUGGG